rnacentral:rRNA from 1 species
AACGCGAAGACCUUACCUGGGUUGACAUGUACAGGACAGCCGGUGAAAGCCGUUCCCUUCGGGGGCCUGUGCACAGGUGCUGCAUGCUGUCGUCAGCUCGUGCCGUGAGUUUGGUAAGUCCCGCAACGAGCGCAACCCCUGUCAUAGUUGCCAUCAGUUAUGUGGGACUUAUGGAGACUGUCGGCGAUAAGCCGGAGGAAGGUGGGGACGACGUCAAGUCUCAUGCCCUAUGCCCAGGGCUACACACGUACUACAAUGGCCGUACAGAAGUAGCAAUACCGCGAGGUGGAGCUAUCCCAAAACCGGCCCAUAUGGAGUCUGCACUCAACUCAUGAAGGAGAAUCGCUAGUA